rfam:Hordeum vulgare subsp. vulgare, WGS project CAJW01000000 data, contig: morex_contig_1572026
CGGUCACUAUGAUGUUGGCUCGACUCACUCAGACCACGCCGGAGGGAGCCAUCUGCGGCGGCGGUUCUGAUUGAGCCGUGCCAAUAUCUUAGUGCUCUUU